UACGGAGGGUGCGAGCGUUGUCCGGAAUCACUGGGCGUAAAGGGCGCGUAGGCGGCCUGAUAAGUAGGGGGUGAAAUCCUGCGGCUUAACCGCAGGGCUGCCUUCUAAACUGUCAGGCUAGAGCACAGUAGAGGCAGGUGGAAUUCCCGGUGUAGCGGUGGAAUGCGUAGAGAUCGGGAAGAACAUCAGUGGCGAAGGCGGCCUGCUGGGCAGUUGCUGACACUGAGGCGCGACAGCGUGGGGAGCAAACAGG
rnacentral:rRNA from 1 species